UACACAUGGAGGGGCUCCAGCCACAUAUG
rnacentral:piRNA from 1 species